rnacentral:tRNA from 1 species
CCUGGUGGCUCAGAAGGUAAAGCAUCUGCCUGCAAUGUAGGAGACCCAGGUUCGAUCCCUGGGUCAGGA